rnacentral:tRNA from 1 species
AUUUAUAUAGUUUAAUUAAAACAUUAUAUUUUCAUUAUAAAAAAAAUAAAUUUUAUUUAUAAAUA